AUGAUAACACAAAGAGAGACAGAAAGAAAUAUUUUGCUAUCUGAUGAUUUAUCCCCAUCUGAACAAAGACACAAAUUUAAAAGAAGAGUGUGUUCACGUAGGACAAACUUUGUUACCUUUACAACAGUCAUGACAAAAACAGGUGUGAUAUUUCUAUUUUGUGUUAUUGUGUUAUUAAGGUUAAUAUUCUCACCUGUUGUCCCACCUGAGGACUGACGGCUGAAAGGAAACAGCUGCACUUUCUUGCUGUUCUGAUUUGUCACUUUACACUUUAAUAACUCAAAAAACUUCUGAUUAAGGUGAGAUGUUGUAAAUGUCACAGUGACAGUGCAGCCUCGUGGUGAUAUCUGCAUGUCUGAGGAUUUCUCUUCACCCUCAUAGAUCCACUGCACUGUGUGUGAACAUGGAUCAUACUCCAACACAGAGCAGGACAACAUGACUUUACCAUUGUUCUCAUGUUCAGUCACUUCAGUCGUACAGAUGGAGACAUUUUGAGAGAGAAAAGCAAGCAUUAAAGAUAAUUAACUUCAUCACUGUGGUCAUACUUAUUGUAACAUUUUAGUUUGUUUCUCUAACAGGACAUUUUGAUCUGAAAGGAUGAUGUAAAUACUCACUGUUGAUGACGGACAGAGAAGAACAGAAUUUUCCACAGUGUCGUUGGUCUUGUGAUGUGUCGCGUCUGCAGGUGUACUGACCAGCAUCAUGAACUGUGAUGUUCUUUAUGACCAGAGAACAGUUUGCUGUAACACUCAGUCUGUCUGAUUUAUUUUUAUGUUUUUCUUCAAUCAAACCGAGAUGAAUCAGAGUGACUGACUCAGCAACAUUAAAACGUUUGAAGAACCAGCCAGUACUGUUACAGUCAGGCUGACCAACUGUCACAUUUUGACAAGGCAAAGUGACUUCAUCACCAACUCUGAUCAGGAAUGUGGGGCCGUGUUGUCCAGUUACUGCUGCUGUGGAAAAGAGAAAUACAUUUGGAAAAUAAACUGUAACAUGGAUAUGACUGUUAUGUUCAUAGUUAGUGUGAGAAUCAGUUCAUCUCUGGAUUCAAAGGUUCAACAGAAAGUUGCAAACAAAACAUGGCUGCCUCAGUUAG
rnacentral:lncRNA from 1 species